rnacentral:rRNA from 1 species
CGGGGUGCACCAGGCGCGAAAACUUUACAAUGCGGGAAACCGUGAUAAGGGGACACCGAGUGCCAGCAUCAUAUGCUGGCUGUCCGGGUGUGUAAAAUACACCCGUUAGCAAGGGCCGGGCAAGACCGGUGCCAGCCGCCGCGGUAACACCGGCGGCCCGAGUGGUGAUCGUGAUUAUUGGGUCUAAAGGGUCCGUAGCCGGUUUGGUCAGUCCUCCGGGAAAUCUGACGGCUCAACCGUUAGGCUUUCGGGGGAUACUGCCAGGCUUGGAACCGGGAGAGGUAAGAGGUACUACAGGGGUAGGAGUGAAAUCUUGUAAUCCCUGUGAGACCACCUGUGGCGAAGGCGUCUUACCAGAACGGGUUCGACGGUGAGGGACGAAAGCUGGGGGCACGAACCGGAUUAGAUACCCGGGUAGUCCCAGCCGUAAACGAUGCUCGCUAGGUGUCAGGCAUGGCGCGACCGUGUCUGGUGCCGCAGGGAAGCCGUGAAGCGAGCCACCUGGGAAGUACGGCCGCAAGGCUGAAACUUAAAGGAAUUGGCGGGGAGCACAAGGGCGAUUGC